rnacentral:rRNA from 1 species
CCUACGGGGGGCAGCAGUGGGGAAUAUUGGACAAUGGGCGAAAGCCUGAUCCAGCAAUACCGCGUGAGUGACGAAGGUCUUCGGAUUGUAAAACUCUUUUAGUGGGGAAGAUAAUGACGGUACCCACAGAAAAAGCACCGGCAAACUUCGUGCCAGCAGCCGCGGUAAUACGAAGGGUGCUAGCGUUGUUCGGAAUCACUGGGCGUAAAGCGUGCGUAGGCGGCUUUGUAAGUCGAUUGUGAAAUCCCCAAGCUUAACUUGGGAAUGGCAAUCGAAACUGCAUCGCUAGAGUUUGGUAGAGGAUAGUAGAAUUCCUAGUGUAGGGGUGAAAUCCGUAGAUAUUAGGAGGAAUAUCGGUGGCGAAAGCGACUAUCUGGGCCAAUACUGACGCUGAGGCACGAAAGCGUGGGGAGCAAACAGGAUUAGAUACCCCAGUAGUC